GAUGAACGCUGGCGGCGUGCUUAACACAUGCAAGUCGAACGAUUAAAGCCCCUUCGGGGGUGUAUAGAGUGGCGAACGGGUGAGUAACACGUGGGCAACCUGCCCCUCACUUCGGGAUAACUCAGGGAAACCUGAGCUAAUACCGGAUACUCCGGGAUGGUCGCAUGGCCGACCCGGGAAAGUUCCGGCGGUGAGGGAUGGGCCCGCGGCCCAUUAGCUUGUUGGUGAGGUAAUGGCUCACCAAGGCGACGAUGGGUAGCCGAGCUGAGAGGCUGAUCGGCCACACUGGGACUGAGACACGGCCCAGACUCCUACGGGAGGCAGCAGUGGGGAAUAUUGCGCAAUGGGCGAAAGCCUGACGCAGCGACGCCGCGUGAGGGACGAAGGUCUUCGGAUUGUAAACCUCUUUCAGCAGGGACGAAGCGAAAGUGACUGUACCUGCAGAAGAAGCACCGGCUAACUACGUGCCAGCCGCCGCAGUAACAC
rnacentral:rRNA from 1 species